rnacentral:rRNA from 1 species
UACGAAGGUAGCUAGCGUUGUUCGGAAUUACUGGGCGUAAAGGGCGCGUAGGCGGUUUAGUAAGUCAGAUGUGAAAGCCCCGGGCUUAACCUGGGAACAGCAUUUGAUACUGCUAGACUAGAGAUCGAAAGAGGAGAGUGGAAUUGCGAGUGUAGAGGUGAAAUUCGUAGAUAUUCGCAGGAACACCAGUGGCGAAGGCGACUCUCUGGUUCGAUACUGACGCUAAAGCGCGAAAGCGUGGGGAGCAAACAGG